GCAUUUUAUCUAAAAUCAAGCAACAAAAAUAUUUAUAUUUUUGUACUUAAUUUUUUUUUCAGAAUGUACUGCAGAGAAUGAUUGUCAAUCAUGUAUAAACAGAAAGAAAUGUUUUUGGUGCAGUGAAGAAAAGGCUUGCAAAAAAAUUUGUUUUCCAAAUUCUGAGUGUCCUGUCAGUUGUUCAUUUUGGUUAAACUGUCAAGUUGACAUGUUUGGAUUCCUGAUGCUUCUACUCCUUGCAAUCAUGGUUAUAGCGUUCAUUUGUCAAUUCUGCAUUUAUCAAUAUUACCUACAGAGAACUCAAGUCUAUAUUGGUGGAAGACCACACACAGUUUACAUGCCUCAUGGGGGUGAUCCUGUAUAUAAUGAAUAGAUAACUGAAAAGCUGGAUUGCCCAGAUAGAGAAGAAGGAAGUUUCUUCAAUGGGGAGUCACGGAAUCUCAGCCCUUGGAGGCAAAUAAAGGUCACCCUGCUCAGCUCCUGCUCCAGUGCUAGGACCCUCUUGCCCAUAUCGCUGGCAUGCUGGAUGGUGAGCAGCUGGGGACUGUCACUUGGAUUUAAACAGUUAGUGAUGUGGCUUUGUGUGGUGUGUGUGCAUAUACGCUGUGUGCACACACAGGUGCUUGACUUUGAACAGGAUGAACACACAGGCAUACUC
ensembl:lncRNA